rnacentral:lncRNA from 1 species
AGUGGUUCUAGAAUCUGGCUAUACUUUUUAAUCAUAUGAAGAAUUCUCAAAGGCUAAAAUAAGAAGUAUACAACUGACCAAGGUGCAAAGUUUGUUUCUUCUCUCAGUCUCCAAAGACUUUGCCUCUGACGUGGUCUACAUCUUCCUUCCCCAGCUCCACAUAGUGACUGCUAAGAAAGAUGAUCUACAUUCCAAAGGACUGGAUACCAGAUGCCCUGCAAAAAAAGUCUAUGUUUGUUGGGCAUUGAGAACACAUGAGCUUCAGGGAUACAAUUGUGUCCAGAAUUGGUGGGUUCUUGGUCUCCCUGACUUCAAGAAUGAAGCCACAGACCCUCACGGAAUAGAAUUUUUGAAGGGGGAGCUGAUUCAGGUUAUGCUUUAGGUUCUCUUUAAAAUGGAAAUGCGUCUUUGGAAAUUUUCCACAUAAUCGUCAUCAGAAGCCUCCUUGGUUCCAGCUGCACUAAUUAGAGGUAUGCACAUGGAGGUUGCAAUGUAAGGAGAGGGGAAAGGAACAUUAAUGACCCAGACUGUGAUAUCACUUGUGAGAACUUCUUUCCACUGAUCUGACACCAAUUUAAGUUCAGCUUUCAAUUCUGUCUUUGAAGCCUGGAUCAAGCAGUGUCAUGGACCCAUGUCUUUUGUGUUACAUAGUCAUGUUUUCUCCUAAAUUGUUAUGGACUACCUGUGAAAGAAGGCAUCCGCCCUACAACUGUCAAUGAACCCUGUUUUAAACUAAUUUUUCAUCUGAUGUAAAAUCUACUGCAGAAACUUUUGUGCCUUUUUAGUAGCUUGGGACAGGACACAUCAUAAGGGGAAAAUACUGCCUUGGAACUAAUAAACAAUGACUAGAAAAUUCA